CAUUAAAAUUGAUGUCUCAUCCACUGGAGUAAUUUGCUCAUUAUAUUAAGUUGCCAAUGGCAGCUUUUCUGGAGUUGAGGGAGAGAAGUUAUUUCUUUUAAAUAAGUACCUCAAAGGAUGAGCAGGUGCAAGCAUGAUGAGAAGUUUCAGGCUGGUCAUUUGCAGAAUUCCUAUUCCUUUUAGUCUUUCUCAUGCCAGGGUGCAGCUAACACAGUGAGAGUCGGAGGUACAGUGACCCUGCAGUCUGAUUCACCUGCUCAUAUGCUGCUCUCUCAAUGGUUUGCAU